UACGUAGGGUGCAAGCGUUGUCCGGAAUUAUUGGGCGUAAAGAGCUCGUAGGCGGUUUGUUGCGUCGGCUGUGAAAUCCCGAGGCUCAACCUCGGGUCUGCAGUCGAUACGAGCAAACUAGAGUGUUGCAGGGGAGACUGGAAUUCCUGGUGUAGCGGUGAAAUGCGCAGAUAUCAGGAAGAACACCAAUGGCGAAGGCAGCUCUCUGGGACGGUACUGACGCUGAGACGCGAAAGCGUGGGGAGCGAACAGG
rnacentral:rRNA from 1 species